AAGCAAUGGAGCAGGUCUUCCUCUAAGGAGCCACAUCUAACAUGAGCUCUCAGACAUGGUUGCCACCAAGCCAAGCCAACCACAGAGCAAGCCAGAGACACUUUCCUCCCCAGGAGAACCAGCUGGAGCUCUCCUCUCCUGCUCUUCAGCUCAAGGGUUCCAAUAGAGAUUGUGACAGCAGGAUGGUUUGGCUGACCUCACAGAAAACAAUGCAACAAAAGGGAAAUCAUCAGAGUUCUUGUCCAGGAAACCAGCAGAUGCUGAGAAUAAAGGAGGCAGAGCUGCAAGUCAGGCCUGUUCUGUUGCCCCAAGCUGAGCUAAUCAAUGUGGGGCUUGUACACCCAUGCUCCAGUGUCCAGCCUUAGGUCUGCUGUAAAAUGCUAUUGUACUGACUGCUGUAUCACCCUCUGCUCAUCUACACUGAACAUCUCAACAUUGAAAAAAUAUUUCUGGAAUAAGCACUCUAACAUCUAUGUGUUUGGAAUUGAAGUGAUGUCACUGAUGAGUAAAAGUCAGGAGAGUUCCUCGGGGAUUUGAUGACUGGGUCUGGUGCUUUGGAUUGCAGGCUGGACUGUGUUCAACGAGUCAUUAAAAAAACAAAAACCAAAAGAAAUUGGGAACUCCUGUCAGUUGAUGUUCCUAUCUUCCUUGUGCACAGAUAGACUUCAAAGACUUUCAUCAUGUUACUUCUGAUCCCAUUUACUAGAAUACACUUGUUAUGAAGGCAUGUAGGAAAGCUGAUUACUCUUACUGAAUAAUCAAAUGUCAAGGAUCCUAGUGUUGGUAUUAGUUUUUAUCCAUGAGGCUCACAACAUUUGACCAGCUAGUCUUAUUUGUAUUAGUCAUGAUUGAACAAGUUUAAUAAAAUUCAGUCAGAGGAUCACUUACUCUUAGAACACACUUGCAAACAGAGAAGGAUAUAUUUAUUAGCAUAAUAAUCUACAACCUUCAUUUGAAUAUCAUGAGAUAUGUGUCCUUGAUCCAUUUGGAGGAAACUCAGGUUUCUUAGCAUUAUUCGUUGAUGCUGCUGUCUUUUCUCUAGUGUCAUUUAUUUUUUGGUAUCUUAAUAAAAAUUUGAUUUCAGAUAAUUUUAGGCUUAUAUCUGGAUCCUUAAUUCUAUUCCCUUAAUUUGUAUAUCUAUUUCUGUGAUGGAACCAUGAUGUUUUUAUUAGUAAGUUUGUAUAAUAUAAUUUGAAAUCAGUUAUAGUCAUACCUGUUACAGUAUUCAUCUUGUUCAGAAUAGCCAUGGCUAUUUUAGAUCUUACGUUUUUC